CAAGGAAGGCAGCAGGCGCGUAAAUUGCCCGAAUCCUGACACAGGGAGGUAGUGACAAGAAAUAACGAUACAGGGCUACAUCUAGUCUUGUAAUUGGAAUGAGCACAAUUUACAUCUCUUAACGAUGAUCAAUUGGAGGGCAAGUCUGGUGCCAGCAGCCGCGGUAAUUCCAGCUCCAAUAGCGUAUAUUAAAGUUGUUGCAGUUAGAACGCUCGUAGUCGGAUUUCGGGGCGGUCCGACCGGUCUGCCGAUGGGUACGCACUGGUCGGAGCGUCCUUCCUGCCGGAGACCGUGCCUACUCUUAACUGAGCGGGGGCGGGAGACGGCACUUUUACUUUGAAAAAAUCAGAGUGUUUCAAGCAGGCAGCUCGCUCUUGCAUGGAUUAGCAUGGGAUAAUGAAAUAGGACUUUGGUGCUAUUUUGUUGGUUUCGAACACCGAAGUAAUGAUGAGAAGGGACAGUCAGGGGCACUCGUAUUCCGCCGAGAGAGGUGAAAUUCUCAGACCAGCGGAAGACGAACCACUGCGAAAGCAUUUGCCAGGGAUGUUUUCACUGAUCAAGAACGAAAGUUAGGGGAUCGAAGACGAUCAGAUACCGUCGUAGUCUUAACCAUAAACCAUGCCGACUAGGGAUUGGAGGAUGUUCACUGAUUGACUCCUUCAGCACCUUACGGGAAACCAAAGUCUUUGGGUUCCGGGGGGAGUAUGGUCGCAAGGCUGAAACUUAAAGGAAUUGACGGAAGGGCACCACCAGGUGUGGAGCCUGCGGCUUAAUUUGACUCAACACGGGGAAACUUACCAGGUCCAGACAUUGUGAGGAUUGACAGAUUGAGAGCUCUUUCUUGAUUUAAUGGGUGGUGGUGCAUGGCCGUUCUUAGUUGGUGGAGUGAUUUGUCUGGUUAA
rnacentral:rRNA from 1 species